rnacentral:rRNA from 1 species
ACGAACGCUGGCGGUAUGCUUAACACAUGCAAGUCGAACGGGCAUAGCAAUAUGUCAGUGGCAAACGGGUGAGGAAUGCAGAGGAAUCUCCCCAGCAGUAAGGAAUAACUUUGGGAAACCAAAGCUAAUGCCAUAUAUCACCGAUUUAUCGGGAAAGAUUUAUCGCUGUUGGAUGAGCCUCUGUCGGAUUAGCUAGUUGGUAGGGUAAUGGCCUACCAAGGCAAUGAUCCGUAGCUGGUCUUAGAGGAUGAUCAGCCACACUGGAACUGAGACACGGUCCAGACUCCUACGGGAGGCAGCAGUGGGGAAUAUUGGACAAUGGGCGCAAGCCUGAUCCAGCAAUACCGCGUGAGUGAUGAAGGUCUUCGGAUUGUAAAGCUCUUUUAGUAGGGAAGAUAAUGACGGUACCUACAGAAAAAGCACCGGCAAACUUCGU